UUUUUUUUUUUUUUUUCUUUUCUUGAUAUCGUUAAUUCUUUAUUUUUCAUAACCUUUCUCUUUCUUUAUUGGGUCCCUGUACAAGCUAUGGCUUUGUUCUCUCUAUGGACGAGAGACAAAUAGUUCUUUUUCGCUUUCUUGCUUUUGAGAGCAGUAGCUGUAGUUUGGCUGAAAAUCUUAACAAUCUCCCACUUUUUUUGCUUUUCUUGGAUUUGCAGAGGAUGGGAAGAGAGAGAAAGAAGGGAAAAAAAUUGCACAUGGAGGCUUGCAUGAGCCAGCUGUUCUUGAGCCAAGAUAAACCACUGCACUGCAUAGAGGGAAAAAAGGGGAAAGCUUAGAAAGGAAGAAAGAAACCUAAGGCUGCUAGCUAAGAGAGCGGAAAGCACCAGACAGCUGCUCGCCUUUGGACGCUCAUCCUAGCCGUUAGUUCAAUUCAAUGUUUUAGUAGGGUAAAUUUACAAUUUAGUCUAUUAAAUAUGUUAAAAUUAUAAUUAUUUUUUUUUUAUAUUGUAUGUAAAAUAAAUUAACCUUUGGAG
rnacentral:misc_RNA from 1 species